rnacentral:rRNA from 1 species
CCUACGGUGAGCAGCAGUCGAGAAUUAUUCACAAUGGGGGAAACCCUGAUGGUGCGACGCCGCGUGGGGGAAUGAAGGUCUUCGGAUUGUAAACCCCUGUCAUGUGGGAGCAAAUUAAAAAGAUAGUACCACAAGAGGAAGAGACGGCUAACUCUGUGCCAGCAGCCGCGGUAAUACAGAGGUCUCAAGCGUUGUUCGGAAUCACUGGGCGUAAAGCGUGCGUAGGCUGUUUCGUAAGUCGUGUGUGAAAGGCGCGGGCUCAACCCGCGGACGGCACAUGAUACUGCGAGACUAGAGUAAUGGAGGGGGAACCGGAAUUCUCGGUGUAGCAGUGAAAUGCGUAGAUAUCGAGAGGAACACUCGUGGCGAAGGCGGGUUCCUGGACAUUAACUGACGCUGAGGCACGAAGGCCAGGGGAGCGAAAGGGAUUAGAUACCCCUGUAGUC